CUUUUCAACCUAUGAGCUGGGAAUCCUUGGAAUUCCAGGCACUACGUCGAAGCCGUCUGCAAAAGAUCACCAAGACAAGUGAGCAUAUUGGCAGGGCUCCGUAAUUCCCUUAGGAAACUUCAAGGCAUGAUUAUAAAGUCCUUUGUCAGCUGUAUCUUUUGAAGUCCACCUGAUUUUGGACUCUCUGGAUCAACAAGCAUCCUUUUGGAAAGAUUCUGGUAUCUUUGCAAGAUGGAAAGCAAAGGGCUUGAUAACACUGCCCCCUUCUAGAGCUUGCUGCAAGCUUGCCAGGUCAGAUUUCCAGCUGAAAGAGAUUUCUCCUCUUUCUGGAGAAUAAGGUGCCAGGAAAACCUUGGGGAAAUUUGAAGCCAGAAAGGUAAACAUGAGGACUCUGCGAGAAAAGUGGCACAGAAACCUCCAUGAAAAUUUCAGAAUCUGCAGAGCAUUGAACAUAUGUAUUGUCUUUCGGGAUCUGAUUUCUUCAGAGAGAUGGUCUUAAAUUUCAUAGCCGAAUACACAAACCAGAGCUUUUCCAGCGUCUUUAGGAAGAAAGGGAUUUUCAUYGCUUCGACUGGACAGACAUCAAAUGAUGACAGGGACACAGAGAGAUAAUGUCACAUACUGUAAGUUCUGCCAGUAAAUGUGCUUUUACAACAUGUAUCUUGUUUCCAAUGAUCCCAAUCCUGCCUUGAUUCACAGAACUAGGUAUGUGUGACUAGCUAGCUGGAAGGCUACUGGAAAAAAAGGUAAUUAGUCAAAGAGAGACCAACAUCUGUUUAAAGAUUGGCUUCUGGAUUAAAACUAAUUGGUAGCUUCCUUUGAUGGCCCUUUUGUAUUUGGAUGAGAAGGAUCCAAGAGAACUCAUUUUUAUCAUUUAUUUUCUUACCUAAUUGAGCGGAUGAUGUUGGAAUGCCAUCAUGACGUCUAUACAUUUCUUUUCAGAAGAUAAAAGAGCUGUUUGAUUAGUAAAUGCAAAAGAUCUGUAUUUUCUGUUGAUUUUUUCAUUACUAAAGAUAUGGUAGAGCUUAAGAUCAAGGUUAUUAAAAACAGUAUAUGA